ensembl:misc_RNA Y_RNA Y RNA
AGUUGGAACAAAUGCGGAGGUGUUUACAACUAAUUGAUCAUAACCAGUUACAGAUUUCUUUGUUUCUUCUCUACUCGCACUGCUUCACUUGACCAGCCUUGA